rnacentral:rRNA from 1 species
GGAAAAAAUUUAUUGCUAUUAGAUGAGCCUAUAUUAGAUUAGCUAGUUGGUGGAGUAAUAGCCUACCAAGGCAAUGAUCUAUAGCUGAUCUGAGAGGAUGAUCAGCCACACUGGAACUGAGAUACGGUCCAGACUCCUACGGGAGGCAGCAGUGGGGAAUAUUGGACAAUGGGCGAAAGCCUGAUCCAGCCAUGCCGCAUGAGUGAAGAAGGCCUUUGGGUUGUAAAGCUCUUUUAGUGAGGAAGAUAAUGACGGUACUCACAGAAGAAGUCCUGGCUAACUCCGUGCCAGCAGCCGCGGUAAUACGGAGAGGGCUAGCGUUAUUCGGAAUUAUUGGGCGUAAAGGGCGCGUAGGCUGAUUAAUAAGUUAAAAGUGAAAUCCCGAGGCUUAACCUUGGAAUUGCUUUUAAAACUAUUAAUCUAGAGAUUGAAAGAGGAUAGAGGAAUUCCUGAUGUAGAGGUAAAAUUCGUAAAUAUUAGGAGGAACACCAGUGGCGAAGGCGUCUAUCUGGUUCAAAUCUGACGCUGAAGCGCGAAGGCGUGGGGAGCAAACAGGAUUAGAUACCCUGGUAGUCCACGCUGUAAACGAUGAAUGUUAAAUAUGGGAAGUUUACUUUUACA